rnacentral:rRNA from 1 species
UACGAAGGGGGCGAGCGUUGUUCGGAAUUACUGGGCGUAAAGAGUGUGUAGGCGGUGCUCUAAGUUCGGUGUGAAAUCUCCUGGCUUAACUGGGAGGGUGCGCCGGAAACUGGAGUGCUUGAGCGUGGGAGAGGAAAGCGGAAUUCCUGGUGUAGCGGUGAAAUGCGUAGAUAUCAGGAGGAACACCUGUGGUGUAGACGGCUUUCUGGACCAUAGCUGACGCUGAGACACGAAAGCGUGGGUAGCAAACAGG